rnacentral:rRNA from 1 species
GGGUUGUGAGGUUAAGCGACUAAGCGUACACGGUGGAUGCCCUGGCAGUCAGAGGCGAUGAAGGACGUGCUAAUCUGCGAUAAGCGUCGGUAAGGUGAUAUGAACCGUUAUAACCGGCGAUUUCCGAAUGGGGAAACCCAGUGUGAUUCGUCACACUAUCAUUAACUGAAUCCAUAGGUUAAUGAGGCGAACCGGGGGAACUGAAACAUCUAAGUACCCCGAGGAAAAGAAAUCAACCGAGAUUCCCCCAGUAGCGGCGAGCGAACGGGGAGGAGCCCAGAGCCUGAAUCAGUGUGUGUGUUAGUGGAAGCGUCUGGAAAGGCGCGCGAUACAGGGUGACAGCCCCGUACACAAAAAUGCACAUGCUGUGAGCUCGAUGAGUAGGGCGGGACACGUGGUAUCCUGUCUGAAUAUGGGGGGACCAUCCUCCAAGGCUAAAUACUCCUGACUGACCGAUAGUGAACCAGUACCGUGAGGGAAAGGCGAAAAGAACCCCGGCGAGGGGAGUGAAAAAGAACCUGAAACCGUGUACGUACAAGCAGUGGGAGCCUCUUUAUGGGGUGACUGCGUACCUUUUGUAUAAUGGGUCAGCGACUUAUAUUCUGUAGCAAGGUUAACCGAAUAGGGGAGCCGAAGGGAAACCGAGUCUUAACUGGGCGUUAAGUUGCAGGGUAUAGACCCGAAACCCGGUGAUCUAGCCAUGGGCAGGUUGAAGGUUGGGUAACACUAACUGGAGGACCGAACCGACUAAUGUUGAAAAAUUAGCGGAUGACUUGUGGCUGGGGGUGAAAGGCCAAUCAAACCGGGAGAUAGCUGGUUCUCCCCGAAAGCUAUUUAGGUAGCGCCUCGUGAAUUCAUCUCCGGGGGUAGAGCACUGUUUCGGCAAGGGGGUCAUCCCGACUUACCAACCCGAUGCAAACUGCGAAUACCGGAGAAUGUUAUCACGGGAGACACACGGCGGGUGCUAACGUCCGUCGUGAAGAGGGAAACAACCCAGACCGCCAGCUAAGGUCCCAAAGUCAUGGUUAAGUGGGAAACGAUGUGGGAAGGCCCAGACAGCCAGGAUGUUGGCUUAGAAGCAGCCAUCAUUUAAAGAAAGCGUAAUAGCUCACUGGUCGAGUCGGCCUGCGCGGAAGAUGUAACGGGGCUAAACCAUGCACCGAAGCUGCGGCAGCGACGCUUAUGCGUUGUUGGGUAGGGGAGCGUUCUGUAAGCCUGCGAAGGUGUACUGUGAGGUAUGCUGGAGGUAUCAGAAGUGCGAAUGCUGACAUAAGUAACGAUAAAGCGGGUGAAAAGCCCGCUCGCCGGAAGACCAAGGGUUCCUGUCCAACGUUAAUCGGGGCAGGGUGAGUCGACCCCUAAGGCGAGGCCGAAAGGCGUAGUCGAUGGGAAACAGGUUAAUAUUCCUGUACUUGGUGUUACUGCGAAGGGGGGACGGAGAAGGCUAUGUUGGCCGGGCGACGGUUGUCCCGGUU